GCGGUGAGGAGGACGAGGCCUUGAGAAGCUUUUCCACCAUUUUUCCCCUUUGGCAUUUGGAUCCAUGUUUUCUUUAACGAUCUCCGUGAUAGUAAAGGUUUUUUUGGUAGCCUUUGCUUUUGACGGCGAUGAAAGAAAGAGAACCCCUCCUAUCUUUUGAUCGUGGUCAAAAUCCUAUCCAAGUCCCCUUUUUUAAGAUCUUUCUCCUGGUUUUGAUCAUCACCGUUCACCUACUUGUUACGGAGAUCCCGACCAAUGCACAAUCCAGAUUUUUUUAGCUUUUUUUCUCCCAUCCCAUCUUGGACGGGCCCAGAAGCUUUUCUCAUGUUUGAAUGGAGGUCUUCCGCAAAUGAAUUUCCAUAUAGAAAUUAUAUAAUGUGCCUGCAGAUAUUGAUUGAAAGCUUGUUUCAAUUGAACGAGGAUGUGAACGAGAAGGCAACAAAAGGGAGCUUGGAGCAAGAGGAGUCAUUUAGUAGUUCACGAAAAAAGGCAUAGUAGAGAAAGGCGGACCAGGCAAUCUCAGAGUGGAAAUCGACACCAUUCAUCCAUCUAUCUCUGCAUCCGGGCUCGCCUCCACUAUUGUUCCGGGUUGAUGAAAGAUCCAACUCCAGAAACCAUACCUACUUCCUGCUUUCGAAAGUGCUUGCUUGCUGACGGGCAUCCCGGUGGGAUGUCUUACCCUCCCUCGAGUCCGAUCUCGGGAGGGCGCUUGGGCUUUUUUUAUUCCCAGGUGUCCGUUUUAUAAAUGCGUAUCGUGAUCCUAGUAUCGGGCUAGGAUUGGCUCUGGUCUAAAACAAGCUUGACCUAAGAACCGCCCUUAAGCAAGGCAGGCAUACGCGCACCUAUAUGUCAAGAUACCUAUUAAGAUUGAAAAAAAGGAAAUCUUUAACAUGCGCAUAAGGAUAGAAGGCAGCUAUCUCUUCAGGGGCAUUGCAAAACAGCGUCUACUCCAAUUGAAGAAGUCCAUUCUAUGGUCAACCUUGUNUUUUCUUUAACGAUCUCCGUGAUAGUAAAGGUUUUUUUGGUAGCCUUUGCUUUUGACGGCGAUGAAAGAAAGAGAACCCCUCCUAUCUUUUGAUCGUGGUCAAAAUCCUAUCCAAGUCCCCUUUUUUAAGAUCUUUCUCCUGGUUUUGAUCAUCACCGUUCACCUACUUGUUACGGAGAUCCCGACCAAUGCACAAUCCAGAUUUUUUUAGCUUUUUUUCUCCCAUCCCAUCUUGGACGGGCCCAGAAGCUUUUCUCAUGUU
rnacentral:lncRNA from 1 species